rnacentral:rRNA from 1 species
UACAGAGGGGGCAAGCGUUGUUCGGAAUUACUGGGCGUAAAGGGGGAGUAGGCGGCCCUCUAAGUCGGAGGUGAAAGCCCGGGGCUCAACCUCGGAACUGCCUCCGAGACUGGAGGGCUAGAAUACGGGAGAGGGGAGUGGAAUUCCAGGUGUAGCGGUGAAAUGCGUAGAUAUUUGGAGGAACACCAGUGGCGAAGGCGGCUUCCUGGACCGGUAUUGACGCUGAGGCGCGAAAGCGUGGGGAGCAAACAGG